CGCGUAGGUGGUCGGGCGCGCCGGUGGUGAAAGCGCGGGGCUCAACCCCGCGUCGGCCAUCGGGACGGUCCGACUCGAGCAUGGUAGAGGCAGGUGGAAUUCCGGGUGUAGCGGUGGAAUGCGUAGAGAUCCGGAAGAACACCGGUGGCGAAGGCGGCCUGCUGGGCCAUGGCUGACACUGAGGCGCGACAGCGUGGGGAGCAAACAGGAUUAGAUACCCCAGUA
rnacentral:rRNA from 1 species